rnacentral:rRNA from 1 species
UAUUUUGACUAUACAAAGGUAUUGAAAUAAGACUUUAAUUGAGUGCUAAGAGAAUGGAAUUACAGGAAAAAUCUUUUUUAAACUUAACAAUUAAAGUUAUUUUUACUUGUGAAGAAACAGUAAUAAAAAUUAAGGACAAGAAGACCCUAAGAAUUUUUAGAAACAUAUUUCAAUAAAGAAGAUAUGUUUCUUUAAUUGGGGCGAUUAAUUAAUAUUAAAAACUUUUUUAAAAAAACAUGAACCGUUUAAUAGCGGUAAAUUGGUAAAAAUACUCUAGGGAUAACAGCGUAAUAAUUUUCGAUAGUUCAUAUUGACAAAAUAGUUUGCGACCUCGAUGUUGGAUUAGGAUAUUUUUUUGAUGAAGAAGUUAAAAAAAAAAGUUUGUUCAACUUUUAAUUUCCU